GUUAUGUACAUAUGUUACCGUAUUACCGAUUUCGAUAAUUCUUUUUUAAAGGAAAGAGGUGGUCCCAUCCUAAUUUGGUCUAGAUCCGAUUAUUGGAUCAUGAAGAAAUUAACGGUAAUUAAUUGAAGCCGG